GGGCCUGUAGCUCAGUUGGUAGAGUGCGCCCCUCGCACGGGUGAGGUCAGCGGUUCGAAUCCGCUCAGGUCCA
rnacentral:tRNA from 1 species